CAACAAUGUAUUGUACAAUAUCCUGCCCUGUGGGAGGUCUAUUGAGUGAAAGCACUCUGAGCUUCAGUUGUUUGCGGUGCAUCCCUGGGACCAGGAUGAAUGAAAUCUCAAGUCCUGGUCUCAAGUCCCUGCGACCUUCAGCUCUGGCUUUAAGUCCUCAGUUUGCAUCCUACCUCAGCCUAAGUAUUCAAGCCUCAAAAGAAACCCAUUUUGGAUCAAGCUCCGGCUGACAGCUCAAUACCGACAUCUCCAUGCAAGCGAACCCUGCUCACCCUCCACCAAUUGCUUCACCGAAUCUUCACCAGCAGAGUACUCACCAUCUUUCUGGACAACUCACCGUUUCCGCAGCAGCGUAUAUUCGGUUAUCCCAGGCUCCGCAUCAUUCCUCCACUCCAACCACCAUUCAUCAAACAUGCUGUGCCUCCAGUCCUGGUUCCAGUUCAAUAUCCACUACCUGUCAAAAUAAACUUUUCUCCUGCCUCCUGAGUGUCAUUCUGCAUGUGGGUCAAAUCAGUGAAGAAAACAAUGACACAGGAAGUUUAAAUCAGGUGGUUUAGUUAAUAUAGAAUAUAUUAGGUCUUCCAGCUUGAGUACAGCUAGAUAAAAGAAUUGCAUUUGGCUGUCGUAAAUGAUCAAUACGGGACAUCUCGGAGACAUGGUUCUCUGAAGUGCUCAGACAGACUGGUGUGUCUGGAGGAUGCAUUUGAGCAGCUGAUGAAACAAAUAGGCGUAUCCCACCACGAUUGUGAUGUGCUAUAUUUCCCAAUAGGGUUUCUCCAUUUUUGUUGUGUCACUCCCCCAAUUGUCCCAUAUUCACAAUUAAAUCUAGGUUGCAUCACUUUUUAGGACUUUCUCAGCGUUUCUCUCUUACAGAGUAAUAUAUUAGAUGUCAGUUGAACAUGUGAGUUGU